CACCAGGAGCCCGUCCACCAGGAAGGCGGUGAGUGCGGCCAGCUGCCACCGCCCGGUUAUCUUAUUGAUUCUUCUAAUCACCCAAGGUGGGUGGAUACGUUAAAGAGUAACCAGUCACUUAGGGAACCCGCGGCUGGGGACUGUUGCUGUCUCCAUGGCAAUGGCGACCUGGCCAGACCUGAGGUCCACUCGGGUCCUAGUCCUGCACUCUGGGGUUAGGGGAACCCAGAGCCAGGUGUAUGGGGACAUCAGCCCCCCAAUUUGAGGACAGGGCCGGAGCAGAAGGGGCUGGAGAGGCCUUGUGCUAGACUCUGGGGAUAUGGAAAUGAGCAAAGUAGAUGUACCCCCGAAACUUGUGGACUAAUGGAGGAGACGGACCUUAAUCAGAUCGUCAUUCAAAGAUACUAUUACAAACUGUUCUGAGAGCCGAGGAAGCAGGAAGGAGCUGUGAGAGACUGAGCUCUAACCUUGGCCAUCAAAGACAAGCUGUGCAGCUCUGGUUUUUUGAGGGCAGGACAUGGAGGGUCAGGCCCAGCUGGAGGCGCACCAAAGCCCAGAGAAAAUUCAGAACCACGUGAACUUGUUGGAUUUCAGCCCCUUGAAGCACAUGUUGCUAUUGCAGCUGCCUUGAUAACUGGGGGGACAGGAGGAGCACGGCUUUCCCAUCUUGUACGGGGACUCGCCAAUCCAGUUGCCCCUGGAAGAGAAAAGGACCCAGGGAGACAGAGGAGCAUUAGGUGAGUAACCUUCACACAGAUGUCCAGAUCUCAGCGCUGCCACUGACCAGCCCUGGGGACCUGGGGCAAGUCACAUCUGCAAGCCUUGGUUUCUUUUUUUUCUUUCCUUUAUUUAUUUAUUUAUUUAUUUUGUUUUGCUCUGUCACCCAUAGCUCACUGCAGCCUUGACGUCCUGGGCUCAAGCAAUCCUCCCAACUCAGCUCAGUCUUCUGAGUAGCUAAGACUACAGGCACAUGCUACCAUGCCCAGCUAAUUUUUUAUUUAUUUGCAGAGAUGGGGGGUCUCCCUAUACUGCUCAGGCUGGUCUCAAACUUCUGGACUCAAGCAGUCCUCCUGCCUCAGCCUCCCAAAGUGCUGAGAUUACAGUCAUGAGCCACUGUGCCCAACCUGUAAGCCUUGGUUUCUCCUGUAAAACCAAGAGAAGAGCCUCCUCUCUCUCUAAGGAAUUCAGCAAAGAUCACAUGUAUGUAUGCACCUAGCACUGUGCCUAGUUAAUUAGUGGCUCCCUUGUAAGGGUUGAUUUUCUUAUUCUUUUUGUUUGUUUUGUUCUGAGAGGGAGUCUCGCUCUGUCACCCAGUCUGGAAUGCAAUGGUGCGCGCCCAGCCUUUUUCUCCCUCUUUCUCCUUUCAAAGCCUAAAAUUGUUCCUCCAGCUCUUGCUCAUGGCUGCCUAAUAAUCUCACCACUGGCCUGUGGCAUUCUUUGCCAAGCCCCAGUGCCUUGUUUUCUCACCUUAAAUGAACACACCUUUGAGCAGAAAUAUAAUCUUUUUUCUCCAAACGUGAUUGUUGAGUGACCAUGAGUGAAAUCAGCUGAAGUGCUCAGAAAAAUACUCACUUCUGGUUUCCUAACAGGACUCAUUCAAUCAUUUAGUCAUUCAACAAACACUUCUGGAGCACCUAUUGAACAUCAGGAUUUGUGCCGGCUGCUGUCAGUCCACAGUUCUCAAAAGGUGCUCUCAGAAGUUUGGGGGCGGGGAGAGUGGGUGGUGGUGAUACCUGGGAUGACAUGGAGUUCUUUUUUUGUUUAAUUUAACCACUUAGAAAAAAGUUCUGCUUAAAAAAACAAAGGAUUGCAAUCACUAUAGUAGAAGGAUAUAGAAAUGAAAACGGUCGAUUUCCCAUGCCCAAGAGUUUAUAACUUGGUUCUAGUCAUGGCCACCAUUUAUUUAGCAUGUACUAUGGGCAAGGCACCACAGAGGCUAUUUUUAUUUUAUUUUAUUUUAUUUUAUUUUAUUUUAUUUUAUUUAUUUUAUUUUAUUUUACUUUGAGAUAGAGUCUCGCAUUGUCGCCCAGGCUAGAGUGCAGUGGCAUGAUCUCAGGUCACUGCAGACUCCGCCUCCCGGGUUCAAGCGAUUCUCCUGCCUCAGGGACGCACCUCCAUGCCCGACUAAUUUUUGUGCUUUUAGUAGAGAUGGGAUUUCACUAUGUUGGCCAGGCUGGUCUCGACCUCCUGACCUCAGGUGAUCCACUUGCCUCGGCCUCUCAGAGUGCUGGGAUUACAGGCGUGAGCCACCACACCUGGCCUCACAUUAUAUUUUAAUCCUUAAAUUCUGUGAGCAGGUAGCAUUUACCUUAAAGGGGCUGGGCUUGGUGGCUCGUGCCUGUAGUCCCAGCACUUUGGGAGACUGAGGUGGGCAGAUUGCUUGAGCCCAGGAGUUCCAGACUAGCCUGGGCAACAUGGCGAGACCCCCGUCUCUACAAAAAACAAAAACAAAAAACAAAACAUAAGCCAGGUGUGGUGGUGAACGCCUGUAGUCCCAGCUACUGGGGAGGCUGUGGUGUGAGGAUUGCUCGAACCAGGAACGUGGAGGUUGCAGAGCUGAGAUUCUGCCACUGCACUCCAGCCUGGGUGACAGAGCUGGACAGAAGAAAAGAAAGGAAAGGAAAGGAAAGGAAAGGAAAGGAAAGGAGAAAGGGAAAAGGAGAAAGGGGAAAAGGGAAAGGAAAAAGGGAAAAGGAAAGGGGAAGGAAAGAAAGGAAGGGGAAGGGGAAGGCCGAAGCCUGUCAAGAUAAAAUGAUGUAUUCAAAUGCUUAGUAGAUGCAUUGCAGAGGGGAAUCAAACCUAGGCCUGGUAAUAACAAUAGUAACCAAUCUGUAUUUCCCACUUAUGAGCCUGGGGGCAUUACCUGUGUUAUCUCACUCAAUUCCAAGAUUGGGUAUUAUUUUAUUCCCAUUUUGCAGAUGAAGAAACAGGAGUAGAGAAGUUAAGUAAGAUCACACAUUUGAACCCUGGUAGUCUUGGCCCCAGAGGCUAAAAAUCUUAACAACUAUACUGAUAACACUCAAUGCUUCAAACAUUUGAUAUGUCAACAAACAAACUAGAAAACUUGAGCCUGGGAGGUUGAGGCUGCCGUGAGCUGUGACCAUGCCACUGUACUUCCGAGCCUAGGUAACACAGCAAGACCCUGCCUCCAAAAAAAAAAAAAAAAAAAAAAAAAUUAGACGCUAUUUGUAAUGAAAUUUGGUUUCUUGUAUUUUUCUGUCUCUGAUAAAGCUGGGCUGUAACGUGACACAUUGUCAAUAGAUGCCAUUUCUAACAAAUAACAAGUAUCCUGUUUUGAGAAUUUGUUUCAGGCUACUAAUGACUUCAAGAACAUCAGAAUAAUACAAUAGAAAGAAUUUGGAAUUUGGAAUCAAAAGACUGAUUCUUCUGAACCAGCUCUACUACUUGUUGGCUUUGUGACAUUUGGUAAAUUACUCAACCUGCCUGAGCCUCAAUUUCUUAAUUUGUAAAAAGAAUGUCCUCCUAGGGUUCCCCCCUUUUUCCUUCUUUCUUUCAUCUCUUCAAUGAGAUAGUGUGAAAGUAGUUUGUAAAUGAUUAAAGGCUAUGUGACAGUAAAAUGUGGUUAUUAUAUAAUUUUGGAAUUCUAGGGCAGGCACGGUGGGUGGCUCACACCUAUAAUCCCAGCACUUUGGGAGUCCAAGUAGGGAGAUUGCUUGAGGCCAGGAGUUCAAGACCAGCCUAGGCAACAUAAUGAGCCCCCCAUCUCUACAAAAAUGUUAAAAAUUAGCCAGGUGUAAUGGUGCAUGCCUGUACUCCCAGCUACUCAGGAGGGUGAGGCGGGAGGAUUGCUUGAACCCAGGAGUUGGAGGCUGCAGUGAGCUAUGAUCUGGCUAUUGCACUCCAGCCUGGGCGACAGAGCAAGACCUCGUCCCCCCCCAAAAAAAAAAGAAAAAAGAAAAAAAGAAAUUCUAAAUAUCAUGUUUACUUAGAAUUUGUUCUUGUUUUGUUUUUGUUGUUGUUGUUGUUUGAGACGGAGUCUUGCUCUGUUGCCCAGGCUGGAAUGCAGUGGUGUGAUCUCAGCUCGCUGCAACCUCCACUUCUGAGGCUCAAGCGAUUCUCCUGCCUCAGCCUCCCAAGUAGCUGGGAUUACAGGCACGCGCCACCAUGCCCAGCUAAUUUUGGUAUUUUUGGUAGACACGAGGUUUUGCCAUGUUGGCCAGGCUGGUCUCAAACUCCUAACCUCAGGUGAUUCACUCGCCUCAGCCCCCCAAAGUGCUGGGAUUGCAGGUGUAAGACACUGCUCCUGGCCUGUUCUUGUUUUUCUAUGAGAAUCUGGAACGUCUGCAAGUUUCAUUACGCUUGCUCCCUGUUUCCAAGAGGCUUGUAUGCAGGCAUCUCCUAAACUCUCCCACCCAGCAAACUGGAGAAGCUAAGCACACUCAUUCCUCCUUCCUUUUCUUUGGGAUCUGCCUGCCUGCAGGGAGCAUGUGUUCUUGGCUGUAUUUUUCUUGUCGUAAGCUUAGAGGGCUGGCACUGUACUUCUAAGAAGGGGCCUUUGGCUAUCCAGUGUUACCUGCCACUGGAUGUGUAGGUCUAAUUCAGUAGUGAGAUAUUUGUAAGCCUAGUUGGCUGGUGUAUUGGCAGAUGUAAGCCAC
rnacentral:lncRNA from 10 species